UAUAUGAGAGUUUGAUCCUGGCUCAGGACGAACGCUGGCGGCGUGCCUAAUACAUGCAAGUCGAACGCACUGACGUCGACAGAAGGUGCUUGCACUGGAAGUUGAUUGACGUGAGUGGCGGACGGGUGAGUAACACGUGGGUAACCUGCCCUUAAGCGGGGGAUAACAUUUGGAAACAGAUACUAAUACCGCAUAAAAGUUGAGAUCACAUGGUCUUAAUUUGAAAGACGGCCUUUGGCUGUCACUUAAGGAUGGACCCGCGGCGUAUUAGCUAGUUGGUGAGAUAAUAGCCCACCAAGGCGAUGAUACGUAGCCGACCUGAGAGGGUAAUCGGCCACAUUGGGACUGAGACACGGCCCAAACUCCUACGGGAGGCAGCAGUAGGGAAUCUUCCACAAUGGACGAAAGUCUGAUGGAGCAACGCCGCGUGAGUGAAGAAGGUUUUCGGAUCGUAAAACUCUGUUGUUGGAGAAGAACAGGGACUAGAGUAACUGUUAGUCCUUUGACGGUAUCCAACCAGAAAGCCACGGCUAACUACGUGCCAGCAGCCGCGGUAAUACGUAGGUGGCAAGCGUUGUCCGGAUUUAUUGGGCGUAAAGCGAGCGCAGGCGGUUUCUUAAGUCUGAUGUGAAAGCCUUCGGCUUAACCGAAGAAGUGCAUCAGAUACUGGGAAACUUGAGUGCAGAAGAGGAAAGUGGAACUCCAUGUGUAGCGGUGAAAUGCGUAGAUAUAUGGAAGAACACCAGUGGCGAAGGCGGCUUUCUGGUCUGUAACUGACGCUGAGGCUCGAAAGUAUGGGGAGCGAACAGGAUUAGAUACCCUGGUAGUCCAUACCGUAAACGAUGAAUGCUAAGUGUUGGAGGGUUUCCGCCCUUCAGUGCUGCAGCUAACGCAUUAAGCAUUCCGCCUGGGGAGUACGACCGCAAGGUUGAAACUCAAAGGAAUUGACGGGGGCCCGCACAAGCGGUGGAGCAUGUGGUUUAAUUCGAAGCUACGCGAAGAACCUUACCAGGUCUUGACAUCUAGCGCCAAUCCUAGAGAUAGGACGUUCCCUUCGGGGACGCUAAGACAGGUGGUGCAUGGUUGUCGUCAGCUCGUGUCGUGAGAUGUUGGGUUAAGUCCCGCAACGAGCGCAACCCUUAUGAUUAGUUGCCAGCAUUUAGUUGGGCACUCUAAUCAGACUGCCGGUGACAAACCGGAGGAAGGUGGGGAUGACGUCAAAUCAGCAUGCCCCUUAUGACCUGGGCUACACACGUGCUACAAUGGCUAGUACAACGAGUUGCGAACCCGCGAGGGUAAGCUAAUCUCUUAAAGCUAGUCUCAGUUCGGAUUGUAGGCUGCAACUCGCCUACAUGAAGUCGGAAUCGCUAGUAAUCGCGGAUCAGCACGCCGCGGUGAAUACGUUCCCGGGCCUUGUACACACCGCCCGUCACACCAUGAGAGUUUGUAACACCCGAAGCCGGUGGGGUAACCUCUUUGAGGAGCUAGCCGUCUAAGGUGGGACAGAUGAUUGGGGUGAAGUCGUAACAAGGUAGCCGUAGGAGAACCUGCGGCUGGAUCACCUCCUUUCUAAGGAA
rnacentral:rRNA from 1 species